UAGUCAUAUGCUUGUCUCAAAGAUUAAGCCAUGCAUGUCUAAGUAUAAGCAAUCUAUACGGUGAAACUGCGAAUGGCUCAUUAAAUCAGUUAUCGUUUAUUUGAUAGUACCUUACUACUUGGAUAACCGUGGUAAUUCUAGAGCUAAUACAUGCUAAAAACCCCGACUUCGGAAGGGGUGUAUUUAUUAAAUAAAAAACCAAUGCCCUUCGGGGCUCCUUGGUGAUUCAUAAUAACUUAACGAAUCGCAGGGCCUUGUGCCGGCAAUGGUUCAUUCAAAUUUCUGCCCUAUCAACUUUCGAUUGUAAGGUAGUGGCUUACAAUGGUUUCAACGGGUAACGGGGAAUUAGGGUUCUAUUCCGGAAAGGGAGCCUGAAAAACGGCUACCACAUCCAAGGAAGGCAGCAGGCGCGCAAAUUACCCAAUCCCGACACGGGGAGGUAGUGACAAUAAAUACUGAUACAGGGCUCUUUUGGGUCUUGUAAUUGGAAUGAGUACAAUUUAAAUCCCUUAACGAGGAACAAUU
rnacentral:rRNA from 1 species